AAUCCGUGAUGAGGACACUCUCUGAGGGUAUCAUUGAAUCGUUCCCACGCUUCAUUAAAUGGUUCGUUAGCGAGCUGCUUGAAAGAAGAGAUCUUGUUCCUUAGGGC
rfam:Brassica napus, WGS project CCCW01000000 data, contig: 21621